GGGCCUGUAGCUCAGCUGGGAGAGCGCCGCGUUCGCAUCGCGGAGGUCGAGGGUUCGAAUCCCUUCGGGUCCACCA
rnacentral:tRNA from 1 species